CACCUCCCGGGGCGCGGGCGGCGUGGGAAGGCCCGGCCCGCCUGCAGGUCUUUCCCUGGGAGCCAGGGCCACUAUCUGGACUGGUCUUUCCCCGAAACUGUGCCCUGCCUGGUCGGCGUGCCUGUGUCGCGACGUUAGGAAGAAACCUGACACUGUUGAUCCACCAGUCAGAAUUCUCCACUUAAGGUUCUGUGAAUAAAAUACACUUUUGCUCUGAUGUCAGUCUGCUUGCCCUAGAACAGGUGAAUAGGGCCCAAGGCAGCAGAAACCUCCCAGGAGUUCCUGGCUAGAGAUCUCCCUGGGUUUAGCCCAGCAAGUUGCACAGUCUGUCUCGUUUCUGUGUGUUGCGAAAGGAUACCAAAAGCAGAAACAUCUGUUGACCAAGUCCAGGCUGUAUAAUACUGCCUGUCACUUGACAUGUAAUCCAGGAGAUUCAGUGGCACUGGAGGUAUUUGUAGUGGGUAAGUGCAGU